GGUGGAAGCCCGAACCCGCAGGCCUCUCCCGAGCGCGCGCUGCCGCGGAGUCGGUGGGGGUCGAACACACGGCGGCGGGCGCCUCUCUACCACAUUCCCCUCUCCCCGGCUCCGCGUCCGAGCACCGGACAGGACUGUCACGGAACCCCCCCUUGCCCCCCCGGCGGCAACGCCGCUUCACGCGCACCCGUCCCCUGCCCGACGCCGACGUUCCGGUCGCGUGACCGAGUGAUUAACACACGCACAAAAACACACUCGCUUGUUUCCAAAGGCGUCCAGUCAAAACUCCCGGUUCCACCGGAACACUUUUAACGCACGUGACGCAACUUAAGAAGAAGCGAAGCGCCGCCGGUCCAGAGAGCAGGAACCCGCUGAGGCAGCUGACCGGACAAGUCGCACCGGGGCCGGUACCGGAGUCCUCCCGGGGACCAGGUCCCACGGUCCCCCGCCCCCCUACCGAGCACCGAGCGGACCGCUGCGACACGAACACUUUGACCGCUUUUCACAACGCAAAGAGUCCUCCGCCGAGUGGAGACGGUGCGUCACCGGGGAAACAGCGCCGCCCUGUGGCCAGCCAGGAGCACUACACGGCGGCAGCUACUAUGAUAACAGUCCAAAUGGAGGUCGGAGUUGACGGACGGCGCCGUGUCUCAUCGUCGGUGUUCUGAUCCCUGAAGUUCAGCUGUGACGCUGAUGUCCAACGUGUUGGACGUCUUUGUACAAACCGUAUGCUUCAUAUGAGAAAUGCUCCAGUAAAGGAUGCCUCUUGUCACCAGCUGCACGAUGCAGGGGGAAGUUAAAUAAAUGCUCCGAUGAAGCAUAGAUUUGAAAUUGCUGUUGAAUUACAUUCUUAUUUCUACAAACUAUUCUGUUUCACAUGAAUAAAUAGAUCAACAAAAAGUAAAAAUAAUGCUGAUGACAGCACUGUGGGUGUAUAUAUAUAUAUAUAUAUAUAUAUAUAUAUAUAUAUAUAUGUAAUAAGCAAGCUUUACUUAACUUUUCAACAUUAUCUAUAGACAUUUUUCUCAAAUGACACUAAACAUAUUUGCAUCAGAUUUAGUAUAAUAAUAAAAGAGUAUAAUCAGUAAAGAGAACUUGUUGGCUAACUGAAGCUAACACACAUCGUGUAUAAAGAAAAUCACUUCACAGUUAUUUAGUCUCCACAAGGGACAAAGCUGCAGAACCCCACUAAGUAUCAACUUAUAUUUAUACACACAUGUAUAAAUAAAUAAAUACAUAUAUUUAAGUAUUUAUUUUGUCCUCCAUACAAGUACACAUAGUACUACUUUAAAACCUACUUAAAACUACCUUUAAUACAAGUACUUAAAACUACUACUACAAUAUGUACUUAUAACUACCACUAUAACAAGUACACAUUGUAGGCUACUUCUAUCACAACUACUUAAAACUACUACUACUACUACAAGUACUUAAAACUACUACAAGUACUUAAAACUGCUACUACAACACAUUCUUAAGACUGGUACUAAGUACUUACGACUACUACUCCGCUAUCUGUACUACUACUACAACACGUAGUACUAGUACCCCAAACCUCCGGCAGGGGGCGCUGGCGGAGGUUUUAACCGCUUAAACGCUCCGUGAGUGGGCGAAGAGAAGAGGUUAAAGGUCAAAGACGAGGGAGGAGGAGGAGGGCUCGUCUCCUUCCUUCCUUCCUCCUUCCUUCCUCCUGACGGAGUCACACAACCUUCGGAGACUUUUAACAACUUUAUCCGGAGUGUUUCUAAAACAAGGCGCCCGCGCGGCCGGACCGGCGGUGACGUAGCGCUGUGACGUCAGCGGUGACGUAGAGCGGCAUGUCGGAGCGAUCCACGUCCGUCUGGAUGUGACCGGUAGGCGGGUUAAACCCCCCGAGCCCCCCGGCUGCUGGUAAACAACCGGGCGGCUUCGGUUUAA
ensembl:lncRNA